GGCCCUAUAGCUCAGUGGUUAGAGCACUGGUCUUGUAAACCAGGGUCAUGAGUUCAAUUCUCAACUGGGGCCU